rnacentral:rRNA from 1 species
AUGUUAGCCAAAAACAGUAGGAUUCUCUGCCCUUGCAAGAUAUGUGUAAACUCUCAUUGGUUAGAUGAACUUCAAGUCUAUGAUCAUUUGAUUUCCGAUGGAUUCAUGGCUGGAUAUACCACAUGGAUUCAGCAUGGAGAAAGUAUGCGGCCCUCUGAAACAACUUCUGGUACCAGUUCACAGUUUGAAGAAACUGUCGAUAGUGAUGAGAUACUACUGGAAGGAUUUAGGAUGUAUGAUACUCGUACUUUAGGAGAGGAGCAAGAGUCUGAAGAUGAUUUGGACGAUGAUCUUGAAGGAUACUAUAGAUUAGUUAAUGAUGGACGCCAAGAGCUAUUCCUAGGUUGCAAAAGAAGAUCUUGA